UGGGGAAUAUUGCGCAAUGGGCGAAAGCCUGACGCAGCGACGCCGCGUGGGGGAUGAAGGCCUUCGGGUUGUAAACCUCUUUCACCACCGACGAAGCUAACGUGACGGUAGGUGGGGAAGAAGCGCCGGCUAACUACGUGCCAGCAGCCGCGGUAAUACGUAGGGCGCAAGCGUUGUCCGGAAUUAUUGGGCGUAAAGAGCUCGUAGGCGGUCUGUCGCGUCUGCCGUGAAAACCCGAGGCUUA
rnacentral:rRNA from 1 species